GAAAAAUCCAUCCAACAUGGCGGCUCUUGCAAGCGAAGGGAUUCCACACAUGGUUUAACUUGGUGAAGCUGGUGCAUAGCAGUGAGACUCCUCAAUAUUCAAGGGUGAAGCUGGUGCAUAGCAGUGAGACUCAAGAUUCAAGGUUUGUGCCGAGUUUCACCGAAUCACAAACGUCAACCUACGGAACCAGUUAUUUUCUGAACUAGACAGACACACCCUGCGACUGAUUGCCUUGUACAGGUAGAAGGCGGCACGCACUGGCAAGGUAUCUGAGGCCCUGCGUGAAAUCCGAAGGAUUUGUGAUCUCCAGGAAGUACAGGAUGUCCACAUGAAACGCAAUGCAGCCCUUCGAGCCCUCCCAUUAUACCUGCGUGAGGAGAACCCACAGUUCUUCAAGUCUUGGAGCGCAGAGGAGGUGGACCGGCCAGACAUCACCAACACACCGGUUGCUAUUGUCAGCAUGGUCACUCCAAGUCAAGUUGAUCUCAGUCCGGCAAGUACUGCUAUUCUGGUGGAAGGAGAUUUCGUCAUCAGCAAUAUCCCCAGGAUGGCGGAUUCCUUUGCAUUGUUUGGCUUGAUGUACGUGUUACAUUUGGACUACCCCAAGAAACUCAUCAACACUUUCACUUUCAUACAGACAAUGCUGAUGGUCCUUGAUGAUGGUAAACGACUGAAACCCUGUGCCUACAGUUGUUCAUGUUUGCACUUUAACUCCUAUGGCACACCGUUUGAGUAUUUAUUUCAUAUGCUUGAUAUCAGACGGCAGCUGCCUACACUAGUUGGCUCUUUGAUUGCACUUGUUAGAUAUAUGGUCACACUCGUUUGACAUUCUGCUUUACUAGUUGAAUAACACAUUAUACUAGUCACUCUUUUUCAGCCACUAGUGGCACUUUUGUCUGACUAGUUACCACAUAAGCCUGACGCCAGGAGCAGCACUUGUAGCACCAAAGUCCCAACUUGUAAGCUUUUUUGAUGAACUAGUGACCCUCUGACCGUACUAGUGACACUAAAAGUUAACUGCGCUGCAAAAACUCUGACAAGUUGGGACUUUGGUGCUACUAGUGCUGCUCCUGGCGUCACUAGUAAGGCUUAUGUGGUAACA